UUUAAAACAAAUGGAAAUAAUUUUUUAGAAGAAUGAGAGUAGAUAUUACAAAAGGCUUGAAUUAUGAAAAUAGGAAUCGACUUGUUUUAAACAAAUAUUAUAGAUCCGGUUAGUAUGAAGUUAUUUUUUUAGUAAGUUGGUCAAUUGACCAAUAAAAUACUGACACACAUACAACCACGCUUGCGUAUCACUAUUCUAUUGAUCAAUUGACCAACUUACCUCAAAAUAAACUUCAUAUUAACCCCUUCCAAAUAUUAUUCACAGUUAUGGUAAAUUUGUCCAAAACAAAUUCAAUGCCAAAUGCCUGCCAAUAAUUUCAGUCUUGUUAAUAUCAAUUGAAAAACUCCAGC
rnacentral:lncRNA from 1 species